rnacentral:lncRNA from 1 species
CGCAUUGCACGAAAAAAUGUGUUGUAUUUCAGUAAAUAACACGUGUUCUUGGUUAAUUGUAAACACGUAGUAGUCCAUCAUGCAUUGUGACUCAUUUAGUGGAUUGGUCAAAAACCUAGGUAAAAAUAAAUUGCGUCACAUGUAAAUAAACAAUUACAUGUGCGAGAACAUAAGUAUGCUAAUUUAUGCAUUUCCAUAUAAGGUAGUGGUCCCGACCUGUUUAA